ensembl:lncRNA
AGUGCGCACGCGGCGCCGGUUCCCGGCCAAGGCUCGGGCCCGCUCCGCUGGCUCGUGUGAAACGUCGACAUUCCCAGCGCAGGAUCCGGGGUCUCGGGGCACCCAUGAGGCCCGAAGCCUCUGCCCGCCAGCGGCGACCGGACAGCUCCCCGGGCGCGCAGAGUAGAGGAAGCGCCCUCGAAAGCCCCGCACGCGUUCACGAGCCGGCCCUGCGCGGGCUCAGCGGCAGCCGCGGCGGGACACCCGGCAGGGUCUUCGGCGCUACUUUGUGCCAAACGACUGCGCUCCCGGAGACCCGGGCAUGGCCGGCGGCAGCAGCUAGAGCGGGACCCAGCGCCCACCGCGUCCUCCACCGGGGCCCCUUUCGGCCCCUGGGCGAGUGCGGCCGGUGGGGAAUGGGCGUCGGCGCGAGGAAUUCCCCGGCCCGGGCGACACCCGCCUCUGAGCGGGCCCUCCCACGUCGCCACCCGCCAGGCCGACGGAGGACCAAGGCGGGGACGGGGGUCUCAGCGGCCCAUUCUGCUGUCACUUCUGACCUAUUCUCCAGCAACGGCGGCGUCAACCCCCGCCCCUGGCUUUUUUGCGAGGUUUGUUGAAGACGGAUUUAGCCCCCGCAGAGUUGGGGAAGGACGGACGGACAGAAGGCCCAGCGCGGCCCACCCCUUCCCCUGGUCGUCUCCCGGCGGGCGGGAGCCGCAGCAACAGCCUCGGGGAGCGGGGGCCUGGCCCAAGACCCACUUCGCGACAUCGGUAGCCAGGCGUGGCCGGAGGGACCGCGGCUGCUCCACGUGGCUCCCGCCUGCCGCCACCCCGCGCGGGAGGACACGUGCGUGCGGUGAGUGGCCGGCGGGCUGAGGGGACGCGCCUGAAAUUAAAUCUUCCCAGUGCCUGACCUUGUUUUUUCCUCGGCCCCGAUAACGGCAGCAGCUGUUUUUUCCAGAAUCCCUGCUGCUGGGGUAGGGGCGAUAUUAUUAUUAUUUUUGGUUGUCACAACCUCCUGGAAAAAUUCCCUGGCCUCAGAAAGUGUAACAAUGGCCUGGCGGAGUUCUGGAGGAAGCGCCCCCUCCCCCUGCUUUCUCCAGGGAUACUUCUGCCCUCGAGCUGCAGUGGGGACCUCCUCCCCUGCUCUGGCCCUACAGCCCCCUCCCCGGCCUUCAGAGCCUUACAGCAGGCUCCUAAGUAUGUGGCCUUGGGGUCCUGCUGGCCCCUUCUGCCUGCCGUGCCUACCGUCCCUGCCCCUGGUCACACCUGGGGAGUGAACUGGGGAGAAGCUGAUAGUCUCCAGCAUGAAUGAGGCUUGGGGGGCACGAGGCAGAGGCCUGGACACCCCACCCACCCGGAGCCCUCCCCGGUGACCCUCACCCAGUGCCUCCUUUAACACACCACCGCACGCUGGACGCAGUGGCUCAUGCCUGUAAUCCCAGCACUUUGGGAGGCCGAGGAGGGCGGAUCACUAGGUCAGAAGUUUGAGACCAGCCUGGACAAUAUGGUGAAACCCCAUCUCUACUAAAAAUACAAAAACUAGGGCCGGGCGCAGUUGCUCACGCCUGUAAUCUCAGCACUUUGGGAGGCCAAGGCGGGCGGAUCACGAGGUCAGGAGAUGGAGACCAUCCUGGCUAACAAGGUAAAACCCAUCUCCACUAAAAAUACAAAAAAUUAGCCGGGCGUGGUGGCGGGUGCCUGUAGUCCCAGCUACUUGGGAGGCUGAGGCAGGAUAAUGACUUCAACCCGGGAGGCGGAGGUUGCAGUGAGCUGAGAUCACACCACUGCACUCAAGCCUGGGCGACAAAGGGAGACUCCAUCUGGGGAAAAAAAAAACACACACCACUGCCCAGCCCUAUUUGGAAGACUUGCCUCCUCCCCAGGAAUUCUGCUGUGUUUGCUUUUGGGGUCAGCGCUGGCCCAGAAGCAGUUAAAGAUUAACCGGCCCUGGGGUAGAAGCCCUGGGGUAGAAGAGGGGGUUGAGGAGGGGGAGGGGAAGGGGCUCCAGCACAAGUGGUGCCCAAUUCCUGGGCCCCUCCCUGGCGGCCAGGCGACUGCUGGGCUCUGCACACCGCCCAUCCCCCCAGUGCUGCUGACCCCGCUCCAGCCUGCCCCCACCUGGCAGGCUGUGCAGUGGGUUCAGGUGGGAAGCAGUUGCUGGGCCCACCUGUCUGGAAAGGGCAACUGGGGAGCCCUGACUGCUUAGCACAGCUUCUGGCUCACACAUCCCUGCAGAGUGUGGGUGCUUGGUGUGGAAAGAGGACGGACCUCUGCCCUCCUGGCCCUUCCUCCAGUGGGAGGAGAAGCCCAGGAAAGAGGCUGAACCCAGGAAGGGCUCUGGGCAGCCUGGUCAGCCAGUCCUAUAGUGUGUGGCUGGUCUUGGCCUCCUGUUCUGCUUCCCUGUCACAGGGGUCCAGGGUGUGUGCACGUGCAUGUGUGCGCUCGUGUGUGUGGACUGCUAGGGGCCCUCAUACAGCCAAUCCUGUGCCUGCAUCUCCUUCUCCUGCGUGGGCCCUCCUUGGUCAGGAAGGGGAGGCAGGAGGGUCUCAGCCCCUACCUCAUUCCACCCCAGUGGGAGUGGCCUCUUCAUGUCCAGUUGGUCCCAGGAUCCGCUACCCCAUCAUCAGUGUCGUCGUCAUUGCAGGGCAGCGGCUCCUCCCAGCGGAGAGCUCCAGGACCCGCCCUGCCCUGUGGGCAGCAGGGCCCUCUCCCAAGCCCCUCAUCCUGCCCAUAAACGUAUUUACACUUGUAUUACCCCAGGUACGUGGCUGUGACAAUGGCAUCCCCAGCCUGCAUAGAGGACAGGAAUUGAACUUUAGUCUCCAGGCAAUUAAGGUGCAGGGACUAUACUUUAUUAAUGGUUGUUAUGCAAUAAAAAACAAUACAAUGGCCCCUA